rnacentral:rRNA from 1 species
AUGCAAGCCCUCCUCGCCUCGCCUGCGCUCAGGCCCUCCCCCUCCCCCUCCCCCGCCGCCCGCUCCCCUCCGCCGUCGCGCGGGCGCGUCGCCCUCGCCGCCUUCCCCGCCCGCGCCCGCCCCCUCCGCUGCGGCCCCAGGGACACCAUGGAGGCGCUGGAGCGGGACGAGAUGCUGAACGCGGUGGAGCUGGAGCAGUGGGAGAGCGGCAAGUCCGAGAGCGGCAUCGCGGCCUGCCAGGGGAUCCGCAUCCGCCGCCACGGCCGCCCCGCCGCCUCCAUGGCGGAGAUCGAGGCCGAGAUGGGCGCCCCCCGCAACAUCCUCGAGAAGAUCAUCUGGGACAAGGAGAUCGAAGUGGCCCAGGGGCUUGCCAGAAAUCCUCUGAAUGAGGUGAUUGAGUCUGCAGGGAAGGCUCCUCCUACAAGAGACUUCUAUGGUGCUUUGGCAGCAGCCCACAAGCGUAAUGGGGUGCCAGCAUUGAUCGCUGAGGUCAAGAAGGCGUCACCAAGUAGGGGCGUACUCAGGGAGAACUUUGAUCCUGUUGAAAUUGCUCAAGCUUAUGAAAAGCAUGGAGCUGCAUGCUUGAGCAUCUUGACUGAUGAGAAAUACUUCCAGGGAAGUUUCGAGAAUCUUCAGAAGGUGCGCAAAGCAGGAGUUAAGUGCCCCCUUCUGUGCAAAGAGUUCGUCGUUGACAAAUGGCAGAUCUAUUAUGCCCGUACUAUGGGUGCUGAUGCAGUUCUGCUAAUUGCUGCUGUGCUAACUGAUCUCGACAUAAAAUACUUCCUUCGAAUAUGCAAGGAGUUGGGAUUGACGGCUCUUAUUGAGGUUCAUGAUGAAAGAGAGAUGGAGCGUAUCCUUGCGAUAAAUGGUGUUCAGCUUAUUGGCAUCAACAACCGUAGUCUUGAGACAUUUAUAGUGGAUACUUCGAACACGAAGACGUUGCUGGAGAAGCAUGGCAAUGCCAUCAGGGAGAAGGGAAUAUUGGUNGUUGGAGAAUCAGGGCUAUUCACCCCAGAUGAUGUUGCUUAUGUGCAGAAUGCUGGAGUCUCCGCUGUUUUGGUAGGCGAAUCCUUGGUGAAGCAAGCGGACCCUGGGCGAGCCAUCGCUGGGCUCUUCGGAAGAGAACUGGUGCACUGA